UCCGGUUGAUCCUGCCGGACCCCACUGCUAUCGGGAUAGGACUAAGACAUGCUAGUCGUGCGCUCUUUGGCCAUGAAAAGAGCGCGUCUAAACAGGUCAGUAACAUGUGGCUAACCUGCCCUUGGGAUAGGAAUAACCCCGGGAAACUGGGGCUAAUUCCCAAUAGGUGAAGAACCCUGGAAAAAGUCUUCGCCAGAAAAGGCGCUUACGUCAUGCUCGUAGGCGUCGCCCAAGGAUGGGGCCGCAGCCGAUCAGGUUGUUGGUGAGGUAAUGGCUCACCAAGCCUAUAACCGGUACGGGCCGUGAGAGCGGGAGCCCGGAGAUGGGCACUGAGACAAGGGCCCAGGCCCUACGGGGCGCAGCAGUCGCGCAAACUUUGCAAUACACGAAAGUGUGACAGGGCUAUCCCGAGUGCCGCCCGCUGAGGGUGGCUUUUGCCAAGUAUAGCAAGCUUGGAGAAUAAGGAGAGGGCAAGUCUGGUGUCAGCCGCCGCGGUAAUACCAGCUCUCCGAGUGGUGUGGAUGUUUAUUGGGCCUAAAGCAUCCGUAGCUGGCUGUUCAAGUCCCCUGUUAAACCCAAUGAUUUAAUCGUUGGUCUGCGGGGGAUACUGUUCGGCUAGGGGGCGGGAGAGGCAGACGGAUUUCCGGGGUAGGGGUGAAAUCCUAUAAUCCCGGGAAGACCACCAGUGGCGAAAGCUGUCUG
rnacentral:rRNA from 1 species